rnacentral:rRNA from 1 species
CGGGGAAUAUUGGACAAUGGGCGCAAGCCUGAUCCAGCCAUGCCGCGUGCAGGAUGACGGUCCUAUGGAUUGUAAACUGCUUUUUGUACAGGAAGAAACAGUUCUACGUGUAGAACCUUGACGGUACUGUAAGAAUAAGGAUCGGCUAACUCCGUGCCAGCAGCCGCGGUAAUACGGAGGAUCCAAGCGUUAUCCGGAAUCAUUGGGUUUAAAGGGUCCGUAGGCGGUUAGAUAAGUCAGUGGUGAAAGCCCAUCGCUCAACGGUGGAACGGCCAUUGAUACUGUCUGACUUGAAUUAUUAGGAAGUAACUAGAAUAUGUAGUGUAGCGGUGAAAUGCUUAGAGAUUACAUGGAAUACCAAUUGCGAAGGCAGGUUACUACUAAUGGAUUGACGCUGAUGGACGAAAGCGUGGGUAGCGAACAGGAUUAGAUACCCAAGUAGUCCCUGAGCGGGCUGGCAAGGCGCAU